rnacentral:rRNA from 1 species
GAUGAACGCUGGCGGCGUGCCUAAUACAUGCAAGUCGAGCGAACGGACGAGAAGCUUGCUUCUCUGAUGUUAGCGGCGGACGGGUGAGUAACACGUGGAUAACCUACCUAUAAGACUGGGAUAACUUCGGGACACCGUAGCUAAUACCGGAUAAUAUUUUGAACCGCAUGGUUCCAAAGUGAAAGACGGUCUUGCUGUCACUUAUAGAUGGAUCCGCGCUGCAUUAGCUAGUUGGUAAGGUAACGGCUUACCAAGGCAACGAUGCAUAGCCGACCUGAGAGGGUGAUCGGCCACACUGGAACUGAGACACGGUCCAGACUCCUACGGGAGGCAGCAGUAGGGAAUCUUCCGCAAUGGGCGAAAGCCUGACGGAGCAACGCCGCGUGAGUGAUGAAGGUCUUCGGAUCGUAAAACUCUGUUAUUAGGGAAGAACAUAUGUGUAAGUAACUGUGCACAUCUUGACGGUACCUAAUCAGAAAGCCACGGCUAACUACGUG